GCCAGGUGUGGUGGUGUGUGUCUGUAGUCCUAGCUAUUUGGGAGGCUGAGGUGGGAGAAUUGCUUGAGCCCAGGAGUUCAAGGCUGCAGUGAGCUAUAAUCAUGCCACUAUACUUCUACCUGGGCAACAGAGCAAGACCCCAUCUCUA
rnacentral:SRP_RNA from 1 species